rnacentral:rRNA from 1 species
UACGGAAGGCAGCAGUGGGGAAUAUUGCACAAUGGGCGAAAGCCUGAUGCAGCUAUGCCGAGUGUAUGAAGAAGGCCUUAGGGUUGUAAAGUACUUUCAUCGGGGAGGAAAAACAAAACUAAUAAUUUUAUUUCUUGACGUUACCCGAAAAAGAAGCACCGGCUAACUCCGUGCCAGCAGCCGCGGUAAUACGGAGGGUGCUAGCGUUAAUCAGAAUUACUGGGCGUAAAGAGCACGUAGGUGGUUUUUUAAGUCAGAUGUGAAAUCCCUGGGCUUAACCUAGGAACUGCAUUUUGAAACUGAAAUACUAGAGUAUCGUAGAGGGAGGUAGAAUUCUAGGUGUAGCGGUGAAAUGCGUAGAUAUCUGGAGGAAUACCUGUGGCGAAAGCGGCCUCCUAAACGAAUACUGACACUGAGGUGCGAAAGCGUGGGGAGCAAACAGGGAUUAGAUACC